rnacentral:rRNA from 1 species
UGCGCAGGCGGGGCAAUAAGUCAGUGGUGAGAUCCUGCGGCUUAACCGUAGAACUGCCAUUGAUACUGUUGCCCUUGAGUAUAGUUGAGGUGGGCGGAAUAUGUAAUGUAGCGGUGAAAUGCAUAGAUAUUACAUAGAACACCAAUUGCGAAGGCAGCUCACUAAGCUAUCACUGACGCUGAGGCACGAAAGCGUGGGGAGCGAACAGGAUUAGAUACCCUGGUAGUCC